rnacentral:snoRNA from 1 species
CCUCUUUUUGUUGGCAGGACCGAGUGUGUGGUCCUGCUCCCCAUCAUGUAGGGAGGCAGAGGGAAAAGGCUCUGGCCCCCUCUGUGUCAUGUCUUAUCCACCAGGUCUAUCCUCAAGUGCUGAGACACCA